AACUUUUAAGAAAAUGCUUAGAAUAAUUUACGGAACGGUUUUUCUUACUGUUUGAAGGUUU
rnacentral:tRNA from 1 species